rnacentral:rRNA from 1 species
GACGUAGGAUGCAAGCGUUGUCCGGAAUCAUUGGGCGUAAAGCGCGUGUAGGCGGUCCGGUAAGUCCGCUGUGAAAGUCGAGGGCUCAACCCUCGAAUGCCGGUGGAUACUGUCGGGCUUGAGUACGGGAGAGGCGAGUGGAAUUCCUGGUGUAGCGGUGAAAUGCGCAGAUAUCAGGAGGAACACCGAUUGCGAAGGCAGCUCGCUGGAACGUUACUGACGCUGAGACGCGAAAGCGUGGGGAGCAAACAGG